AACGCUGCGGCCGACGCAACGU
rnacentral:snRNA from 1 species